rnacentral:rRNA from 1 species
UACGUAGGGUGCAAGCGUUGUCCGGAAUUAUUGGGCGUAAAGAGCUCGUAGGCGGUCUGUCGCGUCUGCUGUGAAAACUCGGGGCUUAACCCCGGGCCUGCAGUGGGUACGGGCAGACUAGAGUGCGGUAGGGGAGACUGGAAUUCCUGGUGUAGCGGUGAGAUGCGCAGAUAUCAGGAGGAACACCGGUGGCGAAGGCGGGUCUCUGGGCCGUAACUGACGCUGAGGAGCGAAAGCAUGGGGAGCGAACAGG